GAUGAACGCUGGCGGCGUGCCUAAUACAUGCAAGUCGAGCGAACAGACGAGGAGCUUGCUCCUUUGACGUUAGCGGCGGACGGGUGAGUAACACGUGGGUAACCUACCUAUAAGACUGGGAUAACUUCGGGAAACCGGAGCUAAUACCGGAUAAUAUUUCGAACCGCAUGGUUCGAUAGUGAAAGAUGGCUUUGCUAUCACUUAUAGAUGGACCUGCGCCGUAUUAGCUAGUUGGUAAGGUAACGGCUUACCAAGGCAACGAUACGUAGCCGACCUGAGAGGGUGAUCGGCCACACUGGAACUGAGACACGGUCCAGACUCCUACGGGAGGCAGCAGUAGUGAAUCUUCCGCAAUGGGCGAAAGCCUGACGGAGCAACGCCGCGUGAGUGAUGAAGGUCUUCGGAUCGUAAAACUCUGUUAUUAGGGAAGAACAAACGUGUAAGUAACUGUGCACGUCUUGACGGUACCUAAUCAGAAAGCCACGGCUAACUACGUG
rnacentral:rRNA from 1 species